rnacentral:rRNA from 1 species
UACGAAGGGGGCUAGCGUUGUUCGGAUUUACUGGGCGUAAAGCGCAGGUAGGCGGAUUGUUAAGUCAGGGGUGAAAUCCUGGAGCUCAACUCCAGAACUGCCUUUGAUACUGGCAAUCUUGAGUUCGGAAGAGGUGAGUGGAAUUGCGAGUGUAGAGGUGAAAUUCGUAGAUAUUCGCAGGAACACCAGUGGCGAAGGCGGCUCACUGGUCCGAUACUGACGCUGAGGUGCGAAAGCGUGGGGAGCAAACAGG